UGUCCUGGACCCGAAGCGGGAUGAUCUAGCCCUGGGCAGGUUGAAGCGCGGGUAAGACCGCGUGGAGGACCGAACCCACCUGGGUUGAAAACCGGGGGGAUGACCUGGGGCUAGGGGUGAAAGGCCAAUCAAAUUCCGUGAUAGCUGGUUCUCUCCGAAAUGCAUUUAGGUGCAGCGUCGGUCGAUUGCGUCGCGGGGGUAGAGCUACCGGAUGCUUGCGGGCCCUUGUUGGGUACCAACAGCAGCCGAACUCCGAAUACCGUUGACGUGUAUUCCGGCAGUGAGUCGGCGGGGGAUAAGCUCCGUCGUCGAGAGGGAGACAGCCCAGACCGUCGUCUAAGGUCCCGAAGCGUGUGCUAAGUGGGAAAGGAUGUGGAGUCGCAUAGACAGCCAGGAGGUUGGCUCAGAAGCAGCCAUCCUUGAAAGAGUGCGUAACAGCUCACUGGUCUAGUGGUUCCGCGCCGACAAUGUAGCGGGGCUCAAGCACACCACCGAAGACGCGGCAGCAAUCUUCAUGGUUGCUGGGUAGGAGAGCGUCCUGCGAGGGGCGAAGCGGCCGGGUAACCGUGCCGUGGACUUCGUGGGAGUGAGAAUGCAGACAUGAGUAGCGAGAGGCGGGUGAGGAUCCCGUCCGCUGGAUGACCAAGGGUUCCGGGGCCACGUUCGUCGUCCCCGGGUGAGUCGGGUCCUAAGGCGAGGCCGACAGGCGUAGUCGAAUGGAUGAACGGGUGGAUAUUCCCGUACCGACCAUGGACCGGCAAAACCGAGACGGUGAGUACUAACCUCCGCCUCGUGGUGGUUCCUUCCUUCGGGUUGGUAUCGCCGCGUGGUGUUGGGAGCGUAGCCGCAGUAGGUCAGCGCAGGGGUGACACGGAAUGGGAGCCGGCCGCGGAGGUGGUUUUCCGUGGUCAAGCACGCAGCCAGUCAUGUAGGCAAAUCCGCAUGGCGCGCAUGGCGAGGUGUGAUGAUGGGAGCCGUUAUGGCUCGAUAUCCGGUUGUCCAGGCCGUCGAGAAAAGCCUCGGCGUGAGGGCCAUGGCCGCCCGUACCCCAAACCGACACUGGUGGUCAGGUAGAGAAUACCAAGGCGAUCGAGCGAAUCCUGGUCAAGGAACUCGGCAAAUCACUCCCGUGCCUUCGGUAUAAGGGAGACCCACUGGGGUGAAGGACCUUGCGUCCGGAGCUUUGGUGGGUGGCACAGACCAGGGGGUAGCGACUGUUUACCAAAAACACAGGUGCAUGCGAAGGCGAAAGCCGCUGUAUAUGCACUGACGCCUGCCCGGUGCCGGAAGGUUAAGAGGAUCCGUCAAUCCCUUCGGGGACGAAGCGGUGAAUUCAAGCCCCGGUAAACGGCGGUGGUAACUAUAACCAUCCUAAGGUAGCGAAAUUCCUUGUCGGGUAAGUUCCGACCUGCACGAAUGGCGUAACGA
rnacentral:rRNA from 1 species